CAUCAUGGCCCUUACGACCAGGGCUACACACGUGCUACAAUGGCGCAUACAAAGAGAAGCGACCUCGCGAGAGCAAGCGGACCUCAUAAAGUGCGUCGUAGUCCGGAUUGGAGUCUGCAACUCGACUCCAUGAAGUCGGAAUCGCUAGUAAUCGUGGAUCAGAAUGCCACGGUGAAUACGUUCCCGGGCCUUGUACACACCGCCCGUCACACCAUGGGAGUGGGUUGCAAAAGAAGUAGGUAGCUUAACCUUCGGGAGGGCGCUUACCACUUUGUGAUUCAUGACUGGGGUGAAGUCGUAACAAGGUAACCGUAGGGGAACCUGCGGUUGGAUCACCUCCUUACCUUAAAGAA
rnacentral:rRNA from 1 species